rnacentral:rRNA from 1 species
CUGCAACUCGAUGCAGAAAUGCA